rnacentral:rRNA from 1 species
GAUGAACGCUGGCGGCGUGCCUAAUACAUGCCAGUCGAGCGAACGGACGAGAAGCUUGCUUCUCUGAUGUUAGCGGCGGACGGGUGAGUAACACGUGGAUAACCUACCUAUAAGACUGGGAUAACUUCGGGAAACCGGAGCUAAUACCGGAUGAUAUUUUGAACCGCAUGGUUCAAAAGUGAAAGACGGUCUUGCUGUCACUUAUAGAUGGAUCCGCGCUGCAUUAGCUAGUUGGUAAGGUAACGGCUUACCAAGGCAACGAUGCAUAGCCGACCUGAGAGGGUGAUCGGCCACACUGGAACUGAGACACGGUCUAGACUCCUACGGGAGGCAGCAGUAGGGAAUCUUCCGCAAUGGGCGAAAGCCUGACGGAGCAACGCCGCGUGAGUGAUGAAGGUCUUCGGAUCGUAAAACUCUGUUAUUAGGGAAGAACAUAUGUGUAAGUAACUGUGCACAUCUUGACGGUACCUAAUCAGAAAGCCACGGCUAACUACGUG